rnacentral:rRNA from 1 species
CAUGCAAGUCGAACGGGAAUCUUCGGAUUCUAGUGGCGGACGGGUGAGUAACGCGUAAGAAUCUAACUUCAGGACGGGGACAACAGUUGGAAACGACUGCUAAUACCCGAUGUGCCGCAAGGUGAAAACUAAUUGGCCUGAAGAAGAGCUUGCGUCUGAUUAGCUAGUUGGUGGGGUAAGAGCCUACCAAGGCGACGAUCAGUAGCUGGUCUGAGAGGAUGAGCAGCCACACUGGGACUGAGACACGGCCCAGACUCCUACGGGAGGCAGCAGUGGGGAAUUUUCCGCAAUGGGCGAAAGCCUGACGGAGCAACGCCGCGUGAGGGAGGAAGGUCUUUGGAUUGUAAACCUCUUUUCUCAAGGAAGAAGUUCUGACGGUACUUGAGGAAUCAGCCUCGGCUAACUCCGUGCCAGCAGCCGCGGUAAUACGGGGGAGGCAAGCGUUAUCCGGAAUUAUUGGGCGUAAAGCGUCCGCAGGUGGUCAGCCAAGUCUGCCGUCAAAUCAGGUUGCUUAACGACCUAAAGGCGGUGGAAACUGGCAGACUAGAGAGCAGUAGGGGUAGCAGGAAUUCCCAGUGUAGCGGUGAAAUGCGUAGAGAUUGGGAAGAACAUCGGUGGCGAAAGCGUGCUACUGGGCUGUAUCUGACACUCAGGGACGAAAGCUAGGGGAGCGAAAGGGAUUAGAUACCCCUGUAGUCCUAGCCGUAAACGAUGGAUACUAGGCGUGGCUUGUAUCGACCCGAGCCGUGC